rnacentral:rRNA from 1 species
UACGUAGGGUGCGAGCGUUGUCCGGAAUUAUUGGGCGUAAAGGGCUCGUAGGCGGCCAACUAAGUCAGACGUGAAAUCCCUCGGCUUAACCGGGGAACUGCGUCUGAUACUGGAUGGCUAGAGGUUGGGAGAGGGAUGCGGAAUUCCAGGUGUAGCGGUGAAAUGCGUAGAUAUCUGGAGGAACACCGGUGGCGAAGGCGGCAUCCUGGACCAAUUCUGACGCUGAUGAGCGAAAGCCAGGGGAGCAAACGGG